rnacentral:rRNA from 1 species
UUGUUAAGUCAGAUGUGAAAGCCCAGGGCUCAACCUUGGAACUGCAUUUGAUACUGGCAAACUAGAGUACGGUAGAGGAAUGGGGAAUUUCUGGUGUAGCGGUGAAAUGCGUAGAGAUCAGAAGGAACACCAAUGGCGAAGGCAACAUUCUGGACCGAUACUGACACUGAGGGACGAAAGCGUGGGGAUCAAACAGGAUUAGAUACCCUGGUAGUCCACGCUGUAAACGAUGAGUACUAGCUGUUGGAGUCGGUGUAAAGGCUCUAGUGGCGCAGCUAACGCGAUAAGUACUCCGCCUGGGGACUACGGCCGCAAGGCUAAAACUCAAAGGAAUUGACGGGGACCCGCACAAGCGGUGGAGCAUGUGGUUUAAUUCGAUGCAACGCGAAGAACCUUACCUGGUCUUGACAUCCUGCGAACUUUCUAGAGAUAGAUUGGUGCCUUCGGGAACGCAGUGACAGGUGCUGCACGGCUGUCGUCAGCUCGUGUUGUGAAAUGUUGGGUUAAGUCCCGCAACGAGCGCAACCCCUAUUGAUAGUUACCAUCAUUAAGUUGGGUACUCUAUUAAGACUGCCGCUGACAAGGCGGAGGAAGGUGGGGACGACGUCAAGUCAUCAUGGCCCUUACGACCAGGGCUACACACGUGCUACAAUGGGUAUUACAGAGGGCUGCGAAGGUGCGAGCUGGAGCGAAACUCAAAAAGGUACUCUUAGUCCGGAUUGCAGUCUGCAACUCGACUGCAUGAAGUCGGAAUCGCUAGUAAUCGCAGGUCAGAAUACUGCGGUGAAUACGUUCCCGGGUCUUGUACACACCGCCCGUCACACCAUGGGAGUGGGUUGCUCCAGAAGUAGAUAGCUUAACGAAUGGGCGUUUACCACGGAGUGAUUCAUGACUGGGGUGAAGUCGUAACAAGGUAGCCGUAGGGGAACCUGCGGCUGGAUCACCUCCUUAA